UACGAAGGGGGCUAGCGUUGUUCGGAAUUACUGGGCGUAAAGCGCACGUAGGCGGAUUGUUAAGUGAGGGGUGAAAUCCCAGGGCUCAACCCUGGAACUGCCUUUCAUACUGGCAAUCUCGAGUUCGAGAGAGGUAAGUGGAAUUCUGAGUGUAGAGGUGAAAUUCGUAGAUAUUCGGAGGAACACCAGUGGCGAAGGCGGCUUACUGGCUCGAUACUGACGCUGAGGUGCGAAAGGCGUGGGGAGCGAACAGG
rnacentral:rRNA from 1 species